rnacentral:lncRNA from 1 species
GGGGAUGUCACUAGAGGGUGGCCAGCAGCCUCUUCUCCUUUUGCUCACCAUCUUGACUUUCUAAAAGCGCUCAGGUUCUCAGGCACAUGGACCUUUUCUCGUAUUCUGUUCCCUGCUCUGAGCCCUCACAUUAACAUCCUCACUGGGAAUGUGCUGUGUCUGUGCUCAGGGUGAAUACGAAUGUGUUGGGUCCUUACAGGCAGAUACAGGAAGCGUCAAGUGAUGAGCUACAGCUGAGCGCUGUCUACCUGGGGGCCAGGAUUGGUGCAAGGAUCCCGUGAGGUCUUCCAGAGGCUACUGGUAUCUGUAGAUGGAUCUUUCUGAUUCCCUUGGUCGUCCGCAGUUUGAACCAGUCUGUCAAGCUCCUCUCCUUGGGCCGUAUGUGCCUCUCCUACCCCUGCAAUUCCACGUCCCCUUGGAGAUCAUCACACCAUUCACCAUGUCCCGGGUGCUGAAGCGCCGGCCUUCGUGGUAAACCUGGACGUCCACCCUGCCAUGGUCUGUCUGACCAUGAGUAAAAGAAGUCGGGAGAGAGCCAGUCCCUGACAGUAAUAUCAGGGAGGGGACUGAGUGCAGCAGAGGCACCUACUGCAUGCCUGACACGGUGCUAAGAAUGAAGAGGAAUGCAAAGAUGAUCAACACGCAGCCCCUCUCCUCCCAGAGAGUGCUGUCUCCUCCUGGGAGGGGUCAUGAGCCACAGACAUACUUCUUACCUUUCUCUUUUUCUUCUGGCACUUUAUCAGAUCCCCCUGUAUUCUUCACAUACUCUUUUUAAAAUUUUGACUUUUGU